rnacentral:rRNA from 1 species
CGAUUGUGCCAGCAGCCGCGGUAAUACGAAGGGUGCAAGCGUUACUCGGAAUUACUGGGCGUAAAGCGUGCGUAGGUGGUUUGUUAAGUCAGAUGUGAAAGCCCCGGGCUCAACCUGGGAAUUGCAUUUGAUACUGGCAGACUAGAGUGCGGUAGAGGAGAGUGGAAUUCCCGGUGUAGCAGUGAAAUGCGUAGAGAUCGGGAGGAACAUCAGUUGCGAAGGCGGCUCUCUGGACCAGCGCUGACACUGAGGCACGAAAGCGUGGGGAGCAAACAGGAUUAGAUACCCUGGUAGUCCACGCCCUAAACGAUGCGAACUGGACGUUGGGUGCAAUUGAGCAUUCAGUGUCGAAGCUAACGCGUUAAGUUCGCCGCCUGGGGAGUACGGCC